rnacentral:tRNA from 1 species
GGGUCGUUAGCUCAGGUGGUAGAGCAGCGGACUUUUAAUCCGUUGGUCGAAGGUUCGAGUCCUUCACGACCCACCA